rnacentral:lncRNA from 1 species
AUUCAAACUACACAGGAUCCUGAUAUAACUUCCAUAUACACCUAUGAGUUCUUCAUUCAUUUCACAUCUUGUGGACUCUAGCCUGCAUUUUCCUGGACAUGGAAUGUUUAUUUCACUCACAUCUUUCAUAGUUUUCCAAGCAAAUAUUCUCCUGCCCAGAUUCAUCAGCAAAUAAACUCCCUUCUCCCAAAAUUAGGCAUUGCAUGUUAAAUGUAUACACAAUGUAAAUACUUUGCUUG